rnacentral:lncRNA from 1 species
GCGGACAAUCGACCCACAAAAAUUAAAGAAGAAAACCAUCAACUCAUUAAAUUUAAAUUUGACCCAACCACCAACCAACCCUUUCUUUUUCUCAUCACUCAAUUUUCAAACCUCCACAAACUCGCCACUCCACUCCACUCCACCUCCCUCUCUCUAUAUAACACCCUGCAGACCCAUUGUCCUCCCCACAACUACAAAUCGGGAAAGAGAGAAAAGAGUGAGAAUUUCGGAGAUAAUCAUGGCGAACGUGAAGUUGGCUUGUGGGUUGGUGUUGUUUAUGGUGGUGGCUGGGGCUCUGACCAGCGAGGCUCUGACGUGCGGCCAAGUAGCAUCAUCACUGGCGCCGUGUCUGAGUUACUUGCAAGGUAGGGCUGGUAGUUCUCCGUCGGUAUCAUGCUGCGCCGGCGUCAGGAGCCUUAACAAUGCAGCCCAAACGACACCGGAUCGGAAAACCGCUUGCCAGUGUCUGCAGAGUGCUGCCAGGGCCACCAACUUUAAUCAGAAAAUUGCCGCUAGUCUUCCCGGCGAGUGCGGCGUCAGCAUUCCCUACAAGAUCAGCACCAGCACCAACUGCAACACGUACCUACUCGAAUCUUUAAUACAUAAAUGUGUGUAUAUGAAUGAUCCAUUUUGUGUCUAAUUUUCUUGUUUUGCUUGUUUUUGUGAUGCAGAAUCAAGUGAAGAAACCGGGUUGACAUGAGAAGAUUAGAAGAGCAUGCGGGCGUCGUCGUAAGACAAUAAUAAUGAUGAAAAAAUAAAAAAUAAAGAAAGAUAGAGGCGACGUCGUUUAUGGAAGUUCAGAGCUGCUGAGUCAGUCUGGAUUGCUCAUAUAAUUUUCUUACUGUUUGUAUUUGCUUGUGUUGUUUGACGCCCUUACUGGUUGUAUGCUUUCGUUGAGAUAAUUUUUAACUAGACAAAUCUUCCUUGUUAUUAUUCUCUUUCCUUGUUCUUCUUCUUUCAUCAUAACUCAAUUUUAAAUGCUUCUACACACACACACACACACAUAUAUAUAUAUACGUUUUAAUAAAUAUGUAUUGAAUCAACAUUUAAACUCAAAUUUUAACCAUUGAUUUUGGACCGUACGUGGGGUGAGCAUAAUUAGUUUUGGACCCUUCCUCGUGCGAGAAUAAUCAUUUAUUAACUAAAUAUAACAAAUAUAUUAAUUGAAAACAUUAUUGACUUUAAUAAAUAUAUCUAUCUCGAACUUUUUAAUUUUUGGCAAAAUUAAAUAAAAGAAAAAAACUGUUUUAAUUAUAAAAAAUUUAUUAUAAUUUUUUAAUGACAUGUUUUGAUCGUUACUUCAAAAAAUAUUGGUUUAAGAUAAGCGGAAUAUGCAGGAAGGCGUUAGAUUUUCUCAGCGCAUUGGGACCGUUAUGGACUCGAGAAGUAGAUACUUAGAAUUCAACUAAUUGGUGGAAGAAAGUGUAAUUCAUCCAAGUAACAAAAAUUCAACCAAACGUAGAACGAGUCACCAGACUCAGUUCCUCCAAUACGAACGAACACGGUCUUACCAGUUUUUGAAUGGGCGAACCCAGCCACAUAAUAAUAUUUAUUUAUUUCAAAUUAAUUGUCGGCGACAUCAAUUGAACUGCCUACCAAAACAGACACGGAGAGCUAUAAAUUUCAUGUAUGGCCGCUCGCUCCUCCACGUGUUGAUAUUUUAUUCGUUGGGUUGCUGUGUGUACGGCAUGGACCGACAAAUUAAAGGUUAGUAAAAUAAUUAUAUAAGGAAAUUUAUAAAACAAUGAGACCAAAUAUUUAAUAUAUUAAUGAAAUUGCCGCUGAAAUAAAUAUUAUGUAAUAAUUAAAUAUCUUUUUAUUAAAAUAAUUACGUUGAAUUAAAAAUUUAGUUUAAUAAUUUUUAUCAUUAUAAAAAAAAAAAAAUAACAUUGUUAAUAGUUAAGACUGUAACAAAAAUAAUAUCCUUAUAAAUUAAUUAAGAUAAUGUAAUUGUUAUUGGUAAAAGUAUGAUAUUUAUAUAAGAUAUUGAAUGGGUUAAAUUUUUUUUGCAAGAAUAGUUAGAGAACUUAAAAGAAUAAAAUAAACAUUUUGAAUUACAAAAAUAUUUUUGUUAAAAAAUAAUUCUAUAUGAGAUUUUACUAUAAUUAAUAUUAAGUACGUGUUAAUUUCAUAAAUUAUAUAAAUUGCGAGUUAUUAUUUCAUAUUAUUUCACUUUCAUUUGGUUGCAUGUUUGUGAUUUCAAAAGAAAGCAAUAACCAUUGACUUAUGGUUCAUAACAUGAUUCUCGGUUAUUUUGAAUUUAUAAAUUUCUAUUUAAAAUAAAUUAUUAAAAUUGAUUAGUGGUCCAAUAUUUAUAGAACGUCAAAAAUCAUGUACAUGAUUUGAUAGAUUUCUAAAAUUUAAAGUGUAAUUGUAUACUUGGCUACAAUUUACUUGUUUGAGUACAAAAUUUUAAAAAUAUAUAUACAUAAUUGUUGAUUAAAUAUUGAUUUGCCACGUGUACCAUCCUGCCUUAUAAAUUCCAAAAAUUAAUUAAUGUGCAUCAACUUAUUAAAUUAAAAAUUAGCCCAACCACCAACUAACCUAUUCUUUUCUCAUCACUCGACUUUCGUACUUCUUCUACGCACUCUCCACUCUCUAUAUAACACCCUGCAAGCCCUCGUAUUUCCUCGCAGCUACAAAUCGGGAAAGAGAGAAAAAGAGUGAGGAAUUCAGAGAUAAGCAUGGCGAACGUGAAGUUGGCUUUUGGGUUGGUGUUGUUUAUCGUGGUGGCUGGGGCUCUGACCAGCGAGGCUCUGACGUGCGGCCAAGUAGCGUCUGCGCUUGGGCCAUGUCUAACUUACUUGCAAGGCCAAGCUGGUAAUUCUCCGCCGGCAGCAUGCUGCGCCGGUGUCAGGAGCCUUAACAGCGCAGCCCAAACGACGCCGGAUCGAAGAGCCGCUUGCCAGUGUCUGCAGAAUGCGGCCAGGUCUACCAACUUUGAUCAGAACAUUGCUGCUAGUCUUCCAGGCAAGUGCGGCGUCAGCAUUCCCUACAAGAUCAGCACCAGCACCAACUGCAACACGUACCUACUCAAAUCUUUAAUGAAGAUAUAUAUAUAUAUAUAUAUAUAUAUAUGUACAUAAAUAUAUAUGAACGGUCCAUUGUGUAUCUAAUUUUCUUGUUUUGCUUGUUUUUGUGGUGCAGAAUCAAGUGAAGAAAUCGAGUAGACAUGAGAAGAGAUUAGAAGAGCAUGCAUGCAUCGUCAUAUAAUAAUAAUAAUAAUAAUAAUAGUGAAAAAAUAAAGGUAGAUGCGACGUCGUUUAUGGAAGUUCAGAGCUGACGAGUCACUCUGGAUUGCUCAUAUAGUUUUCUACUACUUGUAUCACGUAUGACUGGAUGUAUGGAUAUCGUUGAAAUGAGUUUUAGCCUUGUACUCUACUUCCUUCCUCUUCCUCCUCUUUCAUUAACUACUUUAUUUAUUAAUUAAACAUAUAUAAAUACAUAUCCAACCCACAUUUAAACUACCAUUAAUCUCGGAUUGUACCUAGCUUGGGACAGUACUUGGGGUGAAAAUAACUGGAUUAUUAAUUUUUUUUAAUUUAUAAAAAAUAAAUAUAACAAAUAUAUUAAUUGAAAACAUUAUUAUAACAAAUAUAAUUAUAAAAAAUUAUUAAUUAAAAACUUUUAUUUUUCUUUAUUAAAAAAAAACUAUGCUUUUUUUUUUUUAUUUUUGGUCAAAACUCGUACUUCUUUAAAAAUUAAAAAAAAAAAACCAUAUUAAUUAUAAAAAAUUUUAUUACAUCUCGAUAGAGUUUUUAAAUGAUAUAUUUUGAUCAUUUUGGUCAUUACUUAAAAAAAAAAAAAAAUGUUAACAAUUUAUAUACAAAAUACUAUCAUUAACACUUAAAUAGUUAGAUAUCUGACUUGUAAUCACGACAAUUCAAUUACAAAAUAUAAAACUCUACGAACCGAACUAUAUCUACCUAAGUCGAGUGAAGUAUACAUCAAAUACUUUUUCUAUUUUCUUUCCAAUUGCAGCUAGGCUAUUAUGGACUUGAACUAGAUACAUCACUCAGUGAAAUAAAUAUCACACUUACGGUUUAAUUAAUUAGAAGAUAAUUAAAAAGUAAAAAAAUUUUACUUUUUUAUUCAACCAAACAUGUAUUAUUUAUUUGGAUUGGCUCGAGUCAGCGAACUUAAAUCCCGUUGUGAACAAAAGCGGUUUGAAUGGGCCGAUUCGGCUCAAACCGAGCCCCCUAGUCCCACAUAAUAAAAUUAUUUAUUUAUUAAAUUGUUGGCAAAUUAAUUGAACUGCAGAAGUCGAAGGCUAUAAAUUUCACGUUACGGCCAUGGAUGUAUGUACAGUCAAAACCCGCUUGUCCACGUGUCAAUUUUUUAUGGGCUGGGCUGCUGGGUGUACGGCGCAGAUUUGACAAAUUAAAAGCGCCUUACCAAAAAAGUCUUUCAUCAUUUGGAGCUUUCCGGUGUGUGUGAAUUUUUUUAAAGAGUUACGGAAAAUAAGGUUUGUAAACUAAUUAUUUGGAAACUUUUUCAGAAAAAAAAAUAAAUAAGAGUUUUUAAAUCUCUUCAAAUUCCUAUAAGUUCUUAUUGGGAUGAUUUAAAACAUUUAAUCAACAUUCUUAAGAGUUAAAUUUAAUAAAUAUACGCACUUAUAAUAGCAUUACUAUAUUAUUAAUAGCGAAAUUAAAAUUUAAUUUAUUAGUAUGUUAAUAGAAUUUUAACGACUAAUUAUGAAUAAGUUUCACUAAAUCUAUUACCUUUAUGAUCCAAAUAAACAUUUUGACAAUUAUGUUUAUUUAGUUGAAUAAUCGUAAUAAAUUAAAAACUCAAUAUAAUAUUUUUAUCAUUAAAACAAAAUUGUAUUAUUGAUAGUUAAGAUUAUAAAAUUAAACUUUUUUACACCCUAAAAACUUAUUAACAUAAACAUAUUCUUAAAUUAUAGUGUAAAUUAAUUAAUGUUAUAUGUAUAAUUAAAUUUACUAUUUGUAAAAAUAUUACAGUAUGAGAUUUAUAUAAGGUAUUGGAUAUAUAUAUAUAUAUUUGAAAUAAUAGUUAGGAAACUUAAAAAAUAGAACGAAUGUUUGAUAUCAAAAUCAUGGUCAUUGAAGGACCUCCAAAUUAUUAAAAAUUUAAAUUUGAAAAAAUUCAAAUUAAAUAUAUGUGUAUUAAAUUUUUUUAAACAUUCAAGAUAUUUAUAUGUUUAAAUUAACAAUAUCAUAUUAUAUAACCUAUUGAUUAAAUCACAUAUAUUGAAAUUAAUGAAAUAAACCAACAUCUUUAAAUAUCAAAUUUAAUUUCUUUGGGGAUUUGAUUAAUAUAUUACAUUAAAUAAUUAAAUCUAUAGUAUAUAAUUUUUAUAAUGUAAUGUGAUAUGCAAAUAAAUAUAUAAAGUAGUAAUAGUAAUAAUAUAAGAGAUUGAAAAAUUAUGUACACGAUUUGAUAGAUUUCUAAAAUUUAAGUGUAAUUGGCUACAAUUUACUUGUCAAGUACACAACUACAAAAAUAAAAUUAUUAAUUAAAUCCUCAUGUCCUGUAAAUUCAAAAAAUGUAUAAAUGUGCGGCAACUUAUUGAAUUAAAAUUGGCCCAACCACCAACUAGCCCAUCACCCGACUUUCAUACUUCUACACACUCUCCCCUCCAGCUCUCUCACUAUAUAACACCCAGCCGAGCCCUCAUCUUUCCUCACAAGGCAUAGAUCAGAAAGAAGAAAAGAAAAAAAGAGUGAGGAAUUCAGAGAUAAGCAUGGCGAUCGUGAAGUUGGCUUUUGGUUUGGUGUUGUUUAUGGUAGUGGCUGGGGCUCUUACCAGCGAGGCUCUGACGUGCGGCCAAGUAGCGUCUGCGCUUGGGCCAUGUCUCACUUACUUGCAAGGCCAAGCUGGUAAUUCUCCGCCGGCAGCAUGCUGCGCCGGUGUCAGGAACCUUAACAGCGCAGCCCAAACGACGCCGGAUCGAAGAGCCGCUUGCCAGUGUCUGCAGAAUGCGGCCAGGUCUACCAACUUUGAUCAGAACAUUGCUGCUAGUCUUCCCGGUCAAUGCGGCGUCAGCAUUCCCUACAAGAUCAGCACCAGC